ensembl:lncRNA
CCUUCAUAAGAAUCCUAGGUUAUCCCAUGGUCAAUCCCCUUUUCCCAUCUCAAUUCGAGAAAAUGGAUAAUACUAUCAAACAUAAACAUUGAAGAGCCGGAGCCCAACUAGACCAGACAUUUAGUUCAGUGAAAUUUUCCAGUACAAUACCAAGCAAAAAUAUAUACCUUAAACCAACAAAAAAACAACAGAAAUCUCAUAGAUAAUAAGGUAAUGUUUUCUGUUCCACAUCCUACCAGGUCAUUCUAACAGCACACAUUUAUAUGAACUUAUUUUAUCCUAAUUACUGGAAACGUUGGAGUCAGGGGAAGACCUGAGGUGACUGAUACUUAUUUUCAGAUUGGUCCAGUACUAUUUGAUACUUUGGGGGAAUAAUGGGUGUUUUCUAGGACCUAGUGAUAAGGAAAUUCAACUCUUGCUUACUUUAAAGAACUUGGAUAUAGGAGUUCCUAUUGCGGCUCAGUGGGUUAAGAAUCUCAUAUAGUGUCCUUGAAGAUGUGGGUUGGAUCCCUGGCCUUGUCCAGUGGGUUAAGGAUCUGGCGUUGCUGUGAGCUGUGGUGUAGGUGACAGAUGCUGCUCGGAUCCUGUGUUACUGUGGCUGUGGCGUAGGCUGGCAGCUGUAGCUCCCAUUCGACUCCUAGCCCUGGAAUCUCCAUAUGCCUCUGAUGUGGCCCUGAAAAAGCAAAAUAAAAUAAACAAUAAAUUAAAAAUGACAGUGGUUCCAACUGUGCUAAAUAACUUAGUCUGUAUUAAGAGGAUUUGUCUGUCUUCGUUCUAACAACCAAGUUAUUGAAACUGAGCUUUCCAUUAAAAAUAAGUCUUGAAGAGCAGGGGCAGUGUGGUGGCAGCUGCAUAAUCCCUCUGUUCCUGAGUGGAGGCAGUGGCCUAGCAUUUCAUAUUGCUUGAGUUAAAGAUCAGCUUUGCAAAGAGAGCACAUAUUAGUCUUAGUUCGCAGAAUGGAUGAGAUUAGAUUUGAGGUUUUGAAGUCUUCCCUCUCCAAUGAGUACGAAUAGAUACUUGUGAAAUCCUCAUUUGGAGGAAGCCUGUUUUGCAGGCAGUUAAGAUGUGUAACCUUUUUUUAAGGUGAAAAUAUACAUUAUGUUUAGCACUGUACUUCAUGCCUCAGGGAAGCUUAUCUAAGGCAUAUAGACAUAUUUGGUCCAUAAAGCACAUCACAGCCUUCUUGCACUAAGGAAUAGAAGACAGCACUUCAGCACACUUGGGGCCCAUUCUAAAUAGUGAACACACACACAAACACAAAGAGCAAAAAUUGUGGCACUAUGUAGCCUGCAAAAAGGUCACUUUUUAAAAGUAUGAGCUGAGGAGUUCCCGUUGUGGCGCAGUGGAAACAAAUCUGACUAGGAACCAGCAGGUUGCGGGUUCAAUCCCUGGCCCCAGUGGGUUAAAGAUCCUGUGCUGCCGUGAGCUGUGAUGUAGGUCUCAGACCCGUCUCGGAUCUGACGUUGCUGUGGCUCUGGUGUAGGCCUGCAGCUGUAGCUCUGAUUCGACCCCUAGCCUGGGAACCUCCAUAUGCCUCAGGUGCGGCCCAAAAGAGCAAAAUAAAUAAAUAAAUAUCGUACAAUUUUGUCAAUUAUACUUCAAUGAAAAAAACUUUUUUUGACCAAGAGGAAAAAAAUGCAAGUGAACUUGAUGCUGCUGGCUUGGUUGACUCUAGCAUCAGUGUACCUGGUUGCUAAUAGAAUUUUCCAAAGUAGAGUUUGGUCACUAUUAUGGCUACAGGAAUCCCGGCCAUCACUUCUGCCUUCUUCGCGUCUUUGACAGAUAUUCUUUUCUAAACUGUCCUCCUAGAUCCCACCCUCCAGUGAACUUGGCAGCGUUGUCCUGAACACAGGAGGUAAGGCAGGCCACUUCUCUUUCUGCCCAGGCCUGCUCAGAAUAUGAACGAGGAGGGGAAUUUAAUUUGUAAAUUCAACAACAGCUUGAGCACUGUUGAUUUUGCUGCCUCUUUAGCAAAAGUGUCAUUGAAUUGGGCUGCAAGGUCAUUGGAAUCAAUGCUCUUUCACUUCAGAUCAUUUUAUGUGUUAUUAUUCUAAUAAUAGUACAAAUGGUGUUAGAUGCCUUUUGCUGACCCUCCAUCUUCCUGAUGUCAUUAAAGAGAAUGCACAAACGCAAAAGGAUUAUGUGGCAUUUCAGCUCUGAUGUCCUCUGAAAAAGGAAGAUCUUUCAGAAAUGUACAAGCCAAAACAACUUAUGAUUUCAUCUAGUCUUUUUUUUCAGGGCCGCAUCUGUGGCAUAUGGAGGUUCCCAGGCUAGAGGUUGAAUCGGAGCUGCAGCUGCUGGCCUACGCCACAGCCACAGCAAUGCAGGAUCCUUGCCCCACUGAGCGAGGCCCAGAAUGGAACCCACGUCCUCGUGGAUGCUAGUUGGGUUCGCUUCUGCUGUGCCACAACAGGAGCUCCGAUCCCAUCUAGUUCUGCCUGGUUUGAGGGCGUCCUUUCCUAUUCCUGAGGUUGCUGCUAAAUCCUGUGUCUCUCUCUGGGUGUGAAUUUUGCAAAAACUUUCAAAUCAGUAGUCAAAUGUUUUAUCCACUUACAGUCCCACCCCUGGUUUUGAAGAUGAGCGAUUCUUGCUUUGCUCAAACCAGGUCUUAGCUCUGACAUGACGAAGAGGUGGCAACUUUGCAAAUCCAGGCUAUGUCAGUUACUGAGCCUGGAUUUGUUACUUCCAGAGAAUGGCUUUUUCUGGAUUGCUGAACUGGAUUCCAAUAAUCUAGACGUUUCUGAGGGAAGCCCUGGAGUGGUUCCCACAUGCAGUGGGAGGAGGGCUGUGGCAGGUUGUCCUUCUAGAUCAAAGCCUCAUAUUCCAAUUGGGAGAGAUGCUGCCCUGGGUGGCUUCUGAAUAGAAGGUCAGGAGCCUGCCUGCUGUCUGUGUUUCAUCUCUGAUGCCCCCUCACCUGAAGUGGACUAGAGCCAGCCAGCACCCAGGUCUUGAGCUCAGGGUGCCCCCGUGCCCCCGUAAAACAAGUGUGUGCUGGCUUUGCUUUGUGAUGCCUGCAGAUGGCAAAGCCAUGAUUUGUGCCUUUUGUCCUGUGGAGGCGUGGUCUUGGCAGCCCCAGGGAGGGGUCAGGAUGUUUUAAAGCAUGGUGACGCCUUAGGCUGGGUGUGAAAACCAGAGGAGAAGCAUGAACCACUUUGAGAAGGGCCAUCGACACUGUGGAAAAGCAUAUUCAAGGGAUUUCCCCUAGUGGCUCAGUGGAAACGAAUCCGACUAUAACCACGAGGUUGCGGGUUCUAUCCCUGGCCUCACCCAGUGGGUUAAGGAUCCGCCAUUGCCCUGAGCUGGGGUAUAGGUUGCAGAUGCGGCUCGGAUCCUGUGUGGCUGUGGUGUAGGCUGGCAGCUGUAGCUCCAAUUCGACCUCUAGCCUGGGAACUUCCACAUGCAUGCAGCCC